CUAGACUCUGAGGAGUUGGUAUGUCCAUCUCCUCCAUCAGAGUAUGUUUCUUGAGGGGCGGGGCAAAUCUUCCACGGCUCUGAAUCUCCUCAGCACCCCCCACACUAGCCAUGGUAAUAGUACUGCUAGUACUGGUUGCAGAAAGGGACACAGUUCCAGCUACAUGCCAGGCACUAUUCUAAGCACUUUGAAUAUUUCAGUCCAUUUACAUCUCACAACAGCCCUAUGAGGCGCUUUCCUUGACUCUUCAGUGCUCCGUUGUGGUCUUUAUGUGAGGCCUUACCAAAGAACCAAGGCUCCUUGAAGAAAUGGCUGAUUCCUGAGCUAGGGCAGAGAAAGUGGUAGAUGAGUCCAGAAGACCUCUUUGUGACAGAAAGUGCUCAAAGAAUGACAUAAUGAUGGACACGAGAACCAGCCUGGAGGAGCUCUCACUGUAAAAAUCCAGAACAAAUUGGGUAGACAUAAAGAUAGAUAUCUCCAUAGUAACAGACUAUAACUCACUGAUUGGAAUAAAACCCUUGAGUCCAUAUUAAUAUAACUUUAUAAAAAAUAUAUAGGAAGAAGAGAAACUCUUCCUUAUACCAGAAAACUGACAAAUAUAAAAGGAAUGGUGAAAUUAGAAAAUUACUACCUGAUAACACUUGAUUCAGGCAAGAAUCAUCAGUGACGCGAAAACUAGUGAGUGAUAGAUACUUAUUAACUAUAAAGGGAAAAACAAUAACUUUACACUGGUGAAAUCCAGCCGACAUCUCCUUAAACAGGUGAUUAAAGUUAAUUUCACCAGCAGUGGGAUAAAUAGACACCAAGUGCCUCCUGAUAUGAUGCACGGAGAAGAACAUGCCUCAUUUCUGUGAUGUUCCUGCCAGGAGCACAUAAACCAGGAGGAAGCAUCAGAGAAACCCAAACUGAGGGACAGUCUGCAAAAUACCUGUCCCGUACUCUGGAAAAAAUGUCAGCAUCAUGAAGGCAAAGAAAGACUGAGAAACCGCUUCAGAUUAAAAGAGACUAAAGAGACAUGACAACUAAAUGCGGCACAUGAGCUGGGAUUUUCUGCUCUAAGGGACAUUAUUGGCACAAUUGGUGAAAUCUGAAUAAGUGGCGUUUCAGGAAAGACCGGAUGUGUCCAACCUGUUGUCAACCUGUCAAGUGGAAGUCCUUUGCUAUGUUUCCUGAUCUUUCUACAACUACCACACAUUUCUUGUGCAAUUUUAAAAUAUAUUUAAGCACAUGAAAGAGUUAGAUAUUGUGAAACCGUAUAAAGCAAUUUAAGGAUAGGCUGUCGGUCAGGUUUCUGACGGGAGGAAUAACUAAGCUCUGAGAAG
rnacentral:lncRNA from 1 species